rnacentral:ncRNA from 2 species
CUAUGCGCAGGGAAUGAAAUCUCCCUCGAUUACAUUAUCGAAACCGCGCAAGCUAAUGAUUUCUGCAUUUUU